CAGCAGCCGCGGUAAUACGUAGGUCCCGAGCGUUGUCCGGAUUUAUUGGGCGUAAAGCGAGCGCAGGCGGUUAGAUAAGUCUGAAGUUAAAGGCUGUGGCUUAACCAUAGUACGCUUUGGAAACUGUUUAACUUGAGUGCAGAAGGGGAGAGUGGAAUUCCAUGUGUAGCGGUGAAAUGCGUAGAUAUAUGGAGGGACACCGGUGGCGAAAGCGGCUCUCUGGUCUGUAACUGACGCUGAGGCUCGAAAGCGUGGGGAGCAAACAGGAUUAGAUACCCCAGUAGUCCCUGUCUCUUAUACA
rnacentral:rRNA from 1 species